UGUGAGGGUGAUAAGACUGUGACAUCUGUCACCUCAUUGUCAGGGUUGAUUUGGCUAGACGGGUGUCUCCUAACUCUAACCACACCAC
ensembl:misc_RNA 7SK 7SK RNA